rnacentral:rRNA from 1 species
CCUACGGGAGGCAGCAGUGGGGAAUUUUGGACAAUGGGCGCAAGCCUGAUCCAGCCAUGCCGCGUGAGUGAAGAAGGCCUUCGGGUUGUAAAGCUCUUUCGGCGGGGAAGAAAAGGUUCGUGCUAAUACCACGAACUAAUGACGGUACCCGAAGAAGAAGCACCGGCUAACUACGUGCCAGCAGCCGCGGUAAUACGUAGGGUGCAGGCGUUAAUCGGAAUUACUGGGCGUAAAGCGUGCGCAGGCGGUUUGUUAAGACAGAUGUGAAAUCCCCGGGCUUAACCUGGGAACUGCGUUUGUAACUGGCAAGCUAGAGUGUGGCAGAGGGGGGUGGAAUUCCAAGUGUAGCAGUGAAAUGCGUAGAUAUUUGGAGGAACACCGAUGGCGAAGGCAGCCCCCUGGGCUAACACUGACGCUCAUGCACGAAAGCGUGGGGAGCAAACAGGAUUAGAUACCCUGGUAGUCCACGCCCUAAACUAUGUCAACUGGUUGUCGGGGAAGCAAUUCCUUGGUAACGAAGCUAACGCGUGAAGUUGACCGCCUGGGGAAGUCGGCCGCAAGGUUAAACUUAAUGAAUUGACGGCUGAGAGNGCGAGACGACGACGAGGAGAGG